GCAAUAAUGGUUCAGUGGUAGAAUGCAUCGUUGCCAAUCAGCUGAUAGCGUAAAUUCGAUGCGACCGGCGUUCGAUUCGCCGUUAUUGCA